GUGAAACCGGUUCUCGGGUCAGCCCACCCCGGGAUCUGGCAGAGGAGGGCAGGCCGAUACUCGGGUGAGCCUGUGAAAACAGCCGGCAUCUGCCCGGCGCGUCCGAGGGCCUCCAAAUAUGUGCACUCUGUCUGCAUUGCUAAUCAGGACCUCUGAGGAACCUAGGUGGUGCCAGUCCUCUCUCUUGAAACCUUUGUAACUGUUAAGGCUGAAGUGCCAUUUAAAGAAAAAGGAAGGCAAAGAAAUGAGCUAUAGGAAGUCGUGAGCCUUCUCUACAAACUUUUCUGAAAAAAGACAGUUUCAGACCACGUCACGGUGUCCUGAGUCGUAGCUGACUGAGCGCCCUUACUUCCACGUGGCCAGAACGGACGGAGGCAACCGUCGUGGGUGAGAAGUUCUUGUCAUUUGUGAUCCUUUAUUGUUAAUUCUCGUCGUGUAUUUGGCCUGCCGCUUUGUUUUGGUUGUCAGAGUUUGUUACCGAGACAAGAGUCCGAUCAUCCUGUUCCGACAGCCGCAGAUUGAGUUGGCAUGAAACACCAUGAGCAUAUAGAGACUUCCUCUGGGCUUUCCCAGUGAGCACAGCCUUACAGAGGAAAGUUACUGACCUUAAGGACCGAGGAGCUUGAGGACAGUAUUCUCUCACCAGUAUUAAGUGUUAGAUACAUGUAUUAAUGGAUUCAUCGUUUAAAUGAUUAGAAGAGAAUGGCCUGAAAUAUGUGAUGAUGGGGCAGAGACUGCAUCGAUAGAAAAACUUAUUUUUCCCUUAAAACCUGACUACGAAAAUUAAAUAGACUUUUAAGAAUUUAUAAUGUGUUUUGCAAAAGAAAAAAAAUGUCUCGAUUGACUUUAAAAAAACAUGAUAACGUUGCCUUCGGGCUCCCUUAAGACUUAAAAUUCUGUUGAGGAUUACGUGUAUGUAAAUUCUUUAAUAAACCACCCAUAGAGGUCUGCUUUGGAAAGAUUUAAUCCCUGAAUGUGUUUCUAGAGAAUUCUGGUUGCUAUUCCAAAUAGGGCAGGCGGGCCAAUGUGCCUUGGGGAGUGUUGCAUGGGCCCAGUAGCAACUCCAGGCACAACCAAAUGGCAAAGCAUUUGACAUAUAAUUCUCCCUUUUUUUAUUUUUAGUUUUUGGUAUAUGUCACUGAGGUGUCUCCUCUCCUUUUCAUUUCUAUUUCUUUGUUUUUACCUGGAGCCAAUCUUGACAUCAACUCUCUAUAUUCACUGGCUUCCACAAGAAACACAGUCAGUCCAGGGACCCUUGGGUGGCUCAAUCAGUUGAGUGUCCAGCUCUUGAUUCCGGCUCAGGUCAUGAUUUCUCGGUUCGUAAGAUCGAGCCCUGAGUUGGGAUCUGUGCUGACAGCACAGAGCCUGCUUGGAUUCUCUCUCUCCCUCUCUCUCGGCCCCUCCUCUCGUUCUCUGUAAGUAAAUAAACAUUGAAAAAAAAGAAAGAAAUACAAUCAAUCCAAAAUCCUUAACGAAGGCUUGUGGUGGCAUCCUAAAAGGUUGUGUCCCACACUUUGCAAAGUUCCACCCCACAAUCCCAUUCAACAUCUCUUACAUCACCCUUGCUCCCCAGUUCCCAGCUAUCAGGAGUCACCUAUAAGGAUGCCCUCUGUGACAGCCUCAGCUGGAGACUCCGUUGACACACCUUCCCCCAGGAUGUUCCCUAAAGUAAUCCUGUUUGCCACCCACCUUGCCUAUCACGCAGGGUAAUUCAGUCACCAAGCCCAAGUUCCCUAGCUUAUGCCAGCACCCUGUAAACUGGUAGCUCUCCAGCUGCAAGAAUUUAUCCUCAGAGAGCAAAGCGGGUUACAAUCAAUAAUAAUUCUCUUACGUAUAAAAGUAAAUGCUUUAUUAAACUAGCAGUACUGAUGUUUUUCCCCCAA